ACGGCUCAGUAACACGUGGACAACCUAACCUAUGGUGGGGGAUAACCCCGGGAAACUGGGGAUAAUACCCCAUAGGCUAUGAAUGCUGGAAUGCUUUGUAGUUCAAAGGUUUACCGCCGUAGGAUGGGUCUGCGGCCGAUUAGGUUGUCGUUGGGGUAACGGCCCAACAAGCCUGUAAUCGGUACGGGUUGUGGGAGCAAGAGCCCGGAGAUGGAUUCUGAGACACGAAUCCAGGCCCUACGGGGCGCAGCAGGCGCGAAAACUUUACAAUGCGGGAAACCGUGAUAAGGGAACUCCGAGUGCCCGUAAAAUCGGGCUGUCCAUCAGUUUAAAUAACUGGUGAAGAAAGGGCCGGGCAAGACCGGUGCCAGCCGCCGCGGUAAUACCGGCGGCUCGAGUGGUGGCCACUAUUACUGGGCUUAAAGCGUUCGUAGCUGGUUUGUUAAGUCUCUGGGGAAAUCUUCCGGCUUAACCGGAAGGCGUCUCAGGGAUACUGGCAGACUAGGGACCGGGAGAGGUGAGGGGUACUCCAGGGGUAGGAGUGAAAUCCUGUAAUCCUUGGGGGACCACCUGUGGCGAAGGCGCCUCACCAGAACGGCUCCGACAGUGAGGGACGAAAGCUGGGGGAGCAAACCGGAUUAGAUACCCGGGUAGUCCCAGCCGUAAACGAUGUGCGUUAGGUGUAUCGGUGACCACGAGUCACCGAGGUGCCGAAGAGAAAUCGUGAAACGUACCGCCUGGGAAGUACGGUCGCAAGGCUGAAACUUAAAGGAAUUGGCGGGGGAGCAC
rnacentral:rRNA from 1 species